AACACCGACACACAGACCUCCCCGCCGAGCCUUUCCAUCGCCCUCUACAGACGGAGGCAGGAACUGGAGCGACAGUAACAGACGGCCUCGCUCCUCCAGACUGUGCAACUGCUCCUGCUCCCACUGCAGAGAAAGCAAAAGGAGGUGGAAAGUGGAAAGGAUGCACUUUAAAGUGAAGUGAUAAAAGGAGGAAAGAGCAAUGGAUUUUACCCAAAGACGAUGAGAAAGGUGGCUCUUGAACCUUUCGCUGGGACGGAAGGGAGCAGAGUCGAAGAAUGCUCGAGUUUGCAGUGAUCACUUCGUAAAAGGUUCCCAUGACUAAAUCUGGUGUAUGAGGGGCUGAAAGGCAAAAGGAAUUCAGCAACAUUGUAAACUCAGUAGUUAUGGGGUUUUAUUCUAUUCACAUUCACUGGAUAUGAGCAAUCGUGUGCGCUGAUUGGCUACUCUACUACUAGGCUUUCAGCUCAUAUACCGUGAGUAGAGAAAAACAAAAUGGUGGCAUGUAUUGCUGA